rnacentral:lncRNA from 1 species
GAGUCAAGAAGAGAUUUGCUCCAAGGUCAGAGAAGAAGGUACCAUAUGCAGUUAUUUACCUUGUUUUGUACCAUGGGCAGCUCUCAACUUCCUAGGAGUGCUUAUUGUGGUCAUUCAACCUAAAAAGAGACCUAGAGCAUUAAUGAGAGCUCUCACCAUCUCCCAGUCUUUUUCUGUGGCACACUGAUGGCUGUUACUGAAGAUCUUGUUACAAGAUGUUGAGAAGUUCUGUUCUAUGACCAAGACUGUGUGCACUGCAUAUUGAGGUGGUGGAAUUACAACGCGCAUCUCCCCAGUGCUCCCUCAUCUUGCCAUAAUAUGCAGAAUUGGAUCUAGGCUCCCCAGAGUUUGUGGCACAGGUUUUUCAGUUCUGGCCUUGAUCUGAUCUCAGAUAAGGCGUCUGAGCUGCCCUAAAUGGUCUCACAGUGAUUUGCGGUAGGAACACGAUCGGUUGUUUUCUUACAACAACACAAGAACCAUGACAACCUGGAAAGGGGAACUCGCAGCGUCUGCACACAGAGGAGAUUUCAACAUCAGACAUAACCAAAGUCUGGUGAGCAAUGAAAGCCAGGGGGGCUGAAGGUCACAGCCUUGUGCAAAAAAAAGCUGUCUUCAAAACAAGAAAAGUAGAAGUUGCUGAAGAACCUCCAGGACAAGGACUUGUUUCAGCUGUUUACUAUACCUCAAGUGCAGAACCAAGGGGAAUUUCUCAGUUCUUGAAUUUGGUGACUCCAGGACUAGAUGAGACCUUUUCACCCCCUACUUCUGACUCCUUUUCCCACAACAAAGAAACCCAGGCUGCAAGGAAGCCCUGAUACACCCUGGCCAGCACUGCUAAUGCUGGAGGCUAGGGGGUCAGACACAUAGUGCAGGGAACACCUUUGCACUGCAGCCUCCAUAUAACAGCUCAGAGUACAUGAAAAACCUCCUGUGUGGGACUUCUUGCUCACUCUCCAUCUUCUCUGCAAGCUUUCGCAAGUUUCCUUGCGGAGAGCCUACUACUGCAAGUCACCUCAACAGGGUUUGGCUGGCAUCUCCCUGCCGAAGCAAGGCUUUCUCUGGGGACUGAGAGCUUUUCUUUCAAAGGGAGUUUUAUUUAAAUAAAGACAACAAUUUGGGAAGCUGAAUGAAAAAG